rnacentral:rRNA from 1 species
UGCCGCGCCGAGAUCGUCGCGAGUGAGGAGGACAUUA